rnacentral:lncRNA from 1 species
CUCACCUUUCAUGGGCUGCACCCACUGCCUAACCAGUCCCAAUGAGAUGAGCUGGGUACCUCAGUUGGAAAUGCAGAAUCACCCACCUUCUGCAUUGGUCUCACUGGGAGCUGCAGACCAGAGCUGUUCCUAUUUGGCCACCUUGCCAUACCCUCAAUUAAACCUCUUUCUUUUGUAAAUUGCCUAGUCUCAGUGAGCUAUCUUUGGAAUGAGCAGCCUGCAUUCAGAAAUUGAAGUUGACUUAUAGAGCCAAUAAAAGCCCCUUGGAAGAGCUGGUCUUGUACCUUGUCUAUGCAGUUCCUUUACAGGAUUUCUGAUGUGAACCUUGCUCUGUUGUCCAGGCUGGAGUGCAGAGGUGCCAUCUCUGUUCACUGCAACCUCAGUCUCCCAUGUUCAAGCGAUUCUCCCUCCUCAGCCUCCCAAGUAGCUGGGAUUACAGAGUCUUGCUCCGUCAUCCAAGCUGGAGUGCAGUGGUGCAAUCAUAGCUCACUGCAACCUCCACCUCCUGACUGAAGCAAAUCUUAUUCCUAACAGCUUGCAAAGUGGAUUUUAUCAUCAUCAUUUUAAAAAUUAUGGAAUCGAGGAUCAAAGAAGCCAAGUGACUCGUGCAAGAUGACACAUAUUAACAGAUGUGAAAGUUGUCAGAGUCAAAAUGAGUCACUAGUGUGAAAAAAAACUCUGACAAAUAGAGCCAGAGAAGACCAUGAAGAGAGGAUCCUCAUGCCUGAUAACAAAACUAUCACAAAAGACUCUGCAAAAGCCACAAGUUUAUACAAAGGCCAUCACAACCUUAUAUGAAAACUACUUCUGCAAGGACAUCUGCCCAGCAACUGCCUAUAGAACCUCACAGUGGCAUCAUUCUGGCUAUUGAUCUUUGUAGCUAGUUUUUUUUUUUUUUUUUCAAAAUGACUAGAUAAUAAUCCCAAUUUUUUCCUUUAAAAACUCGAAUAUGUAGAUCAUUUUACUAUGGCACAUGCAUUUCCAUUGAAAUGUGCUACUCCCAAAUAAACAUCAGUUUCUCAUA